AAAGCAAUCGUCUAAGGGUAAGACGCCGUCAUUAAAAGUUUUGAAAUUACCAGGAGGGUCAAUUAAAACUUACUGCUGACAGGGGACAGUUUGUCGACUUCGUUCUGAAGUUUUGAUACCGGGGUCAAUUAAAACUUACUGCUGACAGGGGGACGGAGUUACCGGUUCGAGUCCGGUUUGCUUUA
rnacentral:tRNA from 1 species